UACGUAGGGUGCGAGCGUUUGUCCGGAAUUACUGGGCGUAAAGAGCUCGUAGGUGGUUUGUCGCGUUGUUCGUGAAAACUCACAGCUUAACUGUGGGCGUGCGGGCGAUACGGGCAGACUUGAGUACUGCAGGGGAGACUGGAAUUCCUGGUGUAGCGGUGGAAUGCGCAGAUAUCAGGAGGAACACCGGUGGCGAAGGCGGGUCUCUGGGCCAUUACUGACGCUGAGGAGCGAAAAGCGUGGGGGAGCGAACAGG
rnacentral:rRNA from 1 species